rnacentral:rRNA from 1 species
GACGAACGCUGGCGGCGUGCUUAACACAUGCAAGUCGAACGAAGUGGCGAACGGGUGAGUAACGCGUAAUCAACCUGCCCUUCAGAGGGGGAUAACAGUUGGAAACGACUGCUAAUACCGCAUACUGAAGGUGGGGAUUGCGUCUGAUUAGCUAGUUGGGGGGGUAAUGGCCCACCAAGGCGAUGAUCAGUAGCCGGUCUGAGAGGAUGAACAGCCACAUUGGUACUGAGACACGGCCCAGACUCCUACGUGAGGCAGCAGUUGGGAAUCUUCCGCAAUGGACGAAAGUCUGACGGAGCAACGCCGCGUGAGUGAUGAAGGCCUUCGGGUUGUAAAGCUCUGUUAAUCGGGACGCGGUACCGGAAUAGAAAGCCACGGCUACUUACGUGCCAGCAGCCGCGGUAUAC